rnacentral:lncRNA from 1 species
GCCCUCCCUCCCUCCUCCUGCUCUUCUCCCUGACAGAUGCCUCAGAGCCCCGGGCCGCAGUUAAGGUGACGAGAUGCAGCAAUUCUUUAUGAACAUUUCAUUCCUGCUCGCUACACGACGUAAAUUAGAUGGUGUGUUACAUUCGGGCAAUAAGAGAGAUAUGUCACCACGACGCUGGCCCAUUGGAUGGAGAGGGGGUUUGGCGAAGAGCUGA